AUUAAGUGCAGCCAUUAGUUUCCGCGCCCAACUUUGAUCGUCUGUCUUAUUUAAAAAUUUUUUAUAAUUAGCAUUUUUAUUGUUAUAAAAUGAUAAAACAUGAAAAAUACUUUUACUCGUGACUAAUUUUUUUAUUUUUUUAAAAAAAAUUUUCAAAUAAGACGAAUGAUUAAAGUUGGGCGCGGAAAACCAUGGCUCCAGUUAUU
rfam:Oryza sativa Japonica Group DNA, chromosome 5, cultivar: Nipponbare, complete sequence.